ensembl:lncRNA
AAAGAGCACUGGCAGCCUCAACAUAAAAGAGGCUCCCAGCUGACAACCAGGAAAGAAACGGGACUUCACCCUUCAGCCUCGAGGAAUGAGAUUCUAUCCCCAACCUGAGUGAGCCGGGAAGUGACUUCUCCCCCCAAGACUCCAGAUAAGGGCCCAGGCUAACCACCAUCUUGAUUUCACCUUGUGCAACCUGGAGCCAAGGAAUCAGUCAGACCCACAGGACUUCUGACUUGCAGAAGUGAGAGUAACCUGCACCUCUUGGCCCUGAAGAUGAUGGCCCAGCAUCAAAUCAACAGGAAGGACACUGAGGUGAUGAUGAUGGAGAUGAGCGUCAGUGUGUGCAAGUGGGAAGAUGUUCAUGCGAGUCUUCUCAAAAAGGAUUCUCCAGGCAAGACUACUGGAGUGGGUUGCCAUGCCCUCCUCCAGGGUAUCCUCCCAACCCAGGGAUCGAACGCAGGUCUGCUGCAUUGCAGGUGGAUUCUUUACCAUCUAAGCCACCAGGAAAACCCAAGAAUUCUGGAACAGAGCAUCUUUUCAGCCGUCAUCAUUGAAUUGAUCUGGAUGAGAAAGGAAUAACUGAGAGACUUCAGGAAAGGUUCCACGUAUGCUGCUGCUGCUGCUGUUAAGUCGCUUCAGUCGUGUCCGACUCUGUGCGACCCCAUAGACAGUAGCCCACCAGGCUCCCCCGUCCCUGGGAUUCUCCAGGCAAGAACACUGGAGUGGGUUGCCAUUUCCUUCUCCAAUGCAUUAAAGUGAAAAGUGAAAGGGAAGUCGCUCAGUCGUGUCUAACUCUUUGAGACCCCAUGGACUGCAGCCCACCAGGCUCCUCCAUCCAUGGGAUUUUCCAGGCAAGAGUACUGGAGUGGGGUGCCAUUGCCUUCUCCGAGGUUCCAUGUAUAAGGGGUUUCAUAUAUUUCUCCGUCUAACUUACUUCACUCAGUAUUGAAAAGUUAUUGCUGAGCCAUGAAAGACCGUGGGAUUCUUGGCCUCUGGAGGAGAGGAAUUCAAUCUGGGGCCAGUGACAAGACUUGAUCACUC